GAAUGAAGGGAAUGGAAGAGACAAUGAAACAAUCACAAACACAAGAGAUUUUAUAGUGGUUCGGAGCUAACCCUUGCUCCUACGUCCACUCCCCAAGCUUCACUUGGGAGUUCACUAUAAUCCCACGGAUUACAGCCGGUUGUUUUACAAGCUCAAAAUCCAACUUGUUGUUUUACGAGAUCACAACGAACUCGGUCGGUUUUCACAGGCUCACCGACUAGAACCAUCCGAUUGUUUUUCCGGGAUCACAAUCAAACCCUUACACGUUGGUUUUACCCUCGGCUCA
rnacentral:lncRNA from 1 species